CACUGCUGCCUCCUCCCGGUCACUUUUGCAUUUACCCACCUGCUGCUUAGCUGUGUAACUGUUUCCUGGGGAUAGUCCUGACUCACCAAGGCUCCGAGGGGGCUCCGCAUUCCAGAUGGAAGGCUGAGAACAGAAGGAGCACUCUUCCUCUGCUGCGUGCCCGGCAAGGGCAGAGGGAGCCAGGAAGGAUGCGGAGCCCAGCCCCGGGCCCUCAGCGCCUCACAGGCCUUCGCAGGAGAGAGCUGCAGGUGUGCUCGCCGCCAGUGUCAGAUGGCCCUGUGGCGAGCCAGUGAGAGCUGGCAGGGCGACAGCGGGAGGAAGAAAGGCGGGGGUGGGGGCCCCUCUCUCUCCGAAACUCCCGCAGAGAGAGCUGGCUGCGGCAGGCCCGGUCUUCCACGCAGCUGCAGCCUCUGAAUCAGUCCUCUGUCGUCACCUGCUCGGCACCCUGCGGCGGAAACACACACAGCCUCCACCCUCCCACUCCGCAGCCGGCCCGACCGAGCCGCGAUUUCCAUGCUUGGACACGCGGUCACAAAGGAGACUCAGACUGGCGGGGCUGGAAGAGCCUCUCACGGAGCACCUGAUCUGACCACCUGCGGGCUAGCAUCUCCGCACCUCCCCGGGGAGGCCAGCGAGGUGCAGAGGCCAGACGACAGGCUCUGUGCCCUGGCCACGGUGGCAUCGCUCUGUAGUUACUGACUGGGCAUCGUCACCAAACACCCAGGGCUCAACGCUGAGCAGGCUCUGCGGCAGCACCCACCAAUAACCGUUUAAAAUAGCAAGAGUUCUCUUGCUGGUUAGAGAAGUACUGCAUUUCCAUUUUACGCACGAGAGGGCCGCAAGAAGACUAACAACAGAAAUAAGAACAGUCCCUAUCUCCCCCGAGAUAGGGACAACCAGAAUCAGCCUUCCUGCGGGUGCACUUUCUGCAGAGUGAGUCAUUUACAUAAAAUGCCGUGGCGCACUGCUCUCGCUGAGCACGGCAAGCACUUCCUCCAGUAACAACGCGCUCCUCAUAAAUGCGUGUUUACAUAUAACUGCUACAUCCAGGGUCUGUCGGGCCACAUUUCCCUUAAAUAUUUCCGCAGCUGGUCGUUCCCGUUUUCUGCUGUUGUGAAUGAUGCUGAGGUGAACAUUAGGGGAAAAGCUUUUCACUUAUUUUUGUAAACUUUCCUGAUACAAUUUCCCUAGAAACGCAGUCAGUGGGACCAAGAUGUGAACAUUUCACAGCUUCGUGGGAAAUGCUGUCCAGUUCGUCUUCAGAGGAAUGGAAGCCUGACUGCCCAGGCCUCCCACGCUGUCCAGUGUGACCACUGUCAUCAAAGAUAUUAAAAUACUGACUACAGUGAUCAAAGUCAUCAGUGUCUUCCAUCGGGGAUUUUUUGUCUGGCUUCCAGCUCGUUAGUCACUUGAUAAGCAAUGACUGAUUUAUAGUUUCCUAUGUGGCAGGCUCUCUGCCAAGCAUCCCACAUGUCUGCCUUCUUUAAUCUCCCCAGCAUCCCGGACUGAUCUUGUUGCCUUUGCGUUGUGUAUAUGAAACCUAAGAUUCAGAAGUGAAUUGACCAAAGCACACAUCCAGCUGAGUGAUGAGAAUACAAAAUGAAAGAGUCUAACAUCUGUACAGCCUCUGCACCAGUCCUAGUAGCCUGGGGCAGGCCUGGGCCGCUCUAGCCUAUAGGAUGUCCACUCCUGGUUGGGAGCAAAGAACUCAUGGGGAGAUUCCAGUCAGGAGAGACUCAGGCGGGUAAAGCCACCAGGGUCAGAUCAGUGAAAACCACAGGCAGAGUUCCCCCUGCCUGACAUAUCCCACUCCACAGAUAGUUGAGCCUUUGGUGGUGCGCCAAGCUCUUGGUGGGAGAUUAGAAGGGAGAAACAUCACUCCUUCCGUCAGCAGCUCACACACUCUUCCAGGGAUGAGGGUAAACACACAGAUGGCUGUUUUACAAGAAGACGACAGUGAAGCCACGGGAGAGGUGAGACUGGAGAGCCUUGGGCGUUUGGAGAAGAGCGUGACCCCUGUGGAGGCGACAUUUACAUUUCCCAAAGGAUAAAAACUUCAGCUGGCAGGGAUGGCAGGAGGAGACAGGCAUGAAUCCAGAGUGACCCAAAGGGCGGAAGGGUCCCGAGGACACCUGGGGGCAGUCCACAUGGGACAAGGAUGUGAAGGUGGUGUUUGACCAAGUUCAAGGGCCUGCCCUUGAUGCAGGCUGCAGGGAUAGAGGUGUGACCAUCGCCCAGGGGGACAGUGACUGAUGUCCACUGGGAUGGAAGGCAGGGCCUGAAUUCGGGUGGGACAUGAAGAGACUUGAGCCAGGGAGCUGGGUUUGUGCAUGGGUGAAGAAUGGCAGACCUGAGAGCGAUACAGAGGUGGGAUUUGCCGCCUGGGUGCAGUUCGUGGGCGCAGGACUCCUCUCCUUCUCUGCUCCGUGAACCCAGCUGCCAUCCUGCUGGACCUCCCUGCAUACACCAACCCAAGGGCAUCAGUGCCAUCACCCCACCCAGGACCCCACCACAGUGUCUAGCGGAACUGCAGACGCGCUCCGAGGCCUCCUCCAUGUCUCCUCCGAGCGGAGUCUUAUCGUUUGUGGUCCAAACCAGCGCACUUAAGAAAACAAAAGGAGGCUCUACAAACAAAUUCCUCUAGGCAAAAGAUCUAGGCCAGGACUGUCCAGAGCGCACCUGGACAUACGGACUCCCUAGCUAGAGGGAUCAUUUGCAAAAGUAAGUGACACCCCACACUCUGCUAAGUGGCUUCCCUUUGCAAUAAGAAUAAAGCUGUGCAUGUCCUGGUGCUGCAGACUGAUACUGUAACUGCGGACUUGUGUGGACCAUGGCUCAUAGGAGUUAGCAGCCCUGUCAUCUCUUUCUUGGCCCUGACAUCCUUCAUGCAGCUGGCUAAGGAGCAUUCUGGUGAGCAGGAGAUAAACUGCAGUGCUGGAGAGCCAGAGCGGCCAGCUCAGCACGUGUCCCUGCUGCCUGAGGUUGCCCUGUCAUCCCCAUCCCAGUUUGGGCCACUGUCACUUCCUACCUAAACGACAGCAGCCUCAUGACCCACCUGCCUGACUGUAGCUUGGGGUCCUUUCACUCCAUCUUCCACCCUUCAACUAGAGUGGUCACGAACAACAAAUCUAUUCGGCACAUAUUUUGGGACACAGUGUCUCAAGGCUGGCCAUGAGCUGCUGGGCUCCAGUGCACCUCCCACUUCAGACUCCAAGGACAGCAGACACGCAGGCAUCCGUAUACAUAUGCGUCUUUGCUUCACCUCUUCUGAACUAACAUCACCACCCUGGCGAGUCCGUCAUUGGCACUUUCAUGAUUUCAGUAGCUCGUUGGCCUGCAGUGGCUGUGGAAGCGUCUGUCCAGCAGGCUUCAGAUAAGAGCCCGCACAGGGACUGUGCUCAACCAGCAGCUGCUCGGCGUGGUGGCUUCUGGAUCUGCUACAGCUUUCCUGUCAAGGUCGGGUCCUGCCAGCGUUGGAGCCCACCUGGGUCCAGGGGCCUGGACAUCUCUCCCAUCUUCUCUGAGGGGCAGCCUCUGCUCUAUGACCCCCUAGGAUGGCUGAGACUUUCCCAGAGAUGCUCUUUUGUCUGAGACUAUUUCUUCUCCAUCCUUCUCCCCAUCUCCCGAGAGUCAGACCUACCUCAUCCUCUAGCCUGUUCCUGCCUCUCCUGCUCCUUCUGUCUUCCUUCUCUCCAGUUAACCUCUUGCACAUCUACCCUUGUCUCGGCACCUACUUCCUCGAGGAUCCAAAGUAGCAUACGUUCUCCCCAUCUAUCUGUAUGGUGCUUUUUAACUUCUUGAAAGUUACAGUUGGCCAGCAGUUCAAAGACAAUCGGCCAUACCUGUCUAACCUGCAUAUCCCCCAGAGCAUUUAUACCAGGGCAGGGGCUCAAUAAACAUUUACAGAAUGAAUGGAUGGACCAGAACACCCCCGCUUCUAGAGGCUUGUGUGCACUAGGCGGUACUGAGGGCCUGGUGGGGUCAGAGCCCUGAUAUGAGGGUAGACGGGCCAUGUUGGCUGACUGUGCUUCAGAGCAAUUGGAAAUAGCUCUUCAUCACCUUAAAACUUUGAGGUCACGGGUGUCUUUCAUGCGAAAGUGCCCAUGUCUCCCUCACGACCUAACGUCUGGAAUCCUGGCCAGAGCAGAACAGGGAAGUCUCCGUGAGCAACAGGAAGUGAGAGACCGGAACCGGAAGUGGACUUGCUGGGAGAGUUGACGCGAGCCCCGGGCUUGAGAGGCGUACCCGGCCGGGAAGUGAGGUCCUGCUUGGGUUCCCCCUGCGGUCGGACUUCAUGCUGCUGCCUGCAGCCAGGCUCCUCCCCAGGCCAGGUGUGAACACGGGGUGGGCCGCAGCUGCCGGAGCCCGUGUUUCCCCCUGCCUCUGGGCAACCGGGGGAAACUGGGAUGCUAACUGGGAAACUGGCUCAGUCUCGACGGGUACAAAAUCUAUGCAAACCUGUAUUUAAAAUUCUGUUUCCGAUCAUUCCCUUUCCCCUGCUUGGUUAUUCAGCAGGUUGAAUAGAUGAUUAUGAAUCAU